AGGUUCUCUUUUGGAGAUCAUUCCUCUUGGAGUCUUCUCAGCAAGCCUAGGAUAAAAGUGCCCUGCAUUCAGCCCAGAACAGCUUUCUUGUAGGGUAAAGGUGCAACUCAAGGGGAACCAUGAAGUAAAGACACUGCAAUGAAGUACAGAUGCAGGUUGUGAUGACACCAUGGAAGUGCAGUGGCCCUUGUGUAUAAAAGUGGCCACGGAAACUGAGCUGUUAACCAUGCUAGCCUUAUGAGCUGUAAGGGUCAAAACAAACUUUUAAGCUCAAUUGCUUCAAUUGCCAUCACUAUAUUGAUCAGAUACUCACCAGCUACAGUGGGAGUGAGGACGCAUGUCUCACUAUGUUAAGCUAAUCUAGAGAACAGCGAGUGAUACUUUUCCACAGCAGCCAACAUCUUCCAUGACAAAUCUGUAUCAUCACUUUAUCCUGCCAUGUUUUCUCCCUGCCUGGUAAUAUAGUGUCACAGUAUGAUAGUGCAUGCAAAGAUAUGAUUUUUCCAAGUCAUGUUGAAUACUGUUAAAAAAUGUAGAGACUUUUCAUUUUUUUCCACAUGCAUCUUAACUUUACCAAACUAAGAACAGUUUGGGUUUGAUGGGAAGGGAAUAAAAUCAGAUAUAUUCUCCUUAGAAAAAUGAAAAUGUUUAGGUGUUGUGUAUUUACAGAAGGCAACAGAAGUGUACAAAUAAGACAUGAACUGAGGAUUCAAAACACAAAACAAUUUUUAAAAUUAGAAAAAGUUUGCUUUCUUCAUAGUAUUGUUAACUGCGGAAGUAUGACACUGCAUUACUCUGUAUUGUGGGUAUGGAGUAGGUACUUUUGACAUCCAUGUAUUCAAAUUUCUGUUCUGAAUUUUGACUAUUAAGUCAAAAUUUUGAUGUUUAAGCUCAACUGUGUAAUUUAUGUUUUUCAAUAGCUAAGGUGAUGUGACUUCAUGGUCCGUGGCCAGGACUUGUUGAUGUUAAUGGCCAAGCAAUUGUGAAAGUAAAUAUAUGCUUAUUUGAAUGCUUAUUUCUGCUCUGGAAAAAUUUAUUUUUAGCAAUGUGUUUUAGGCUUCUUCCUGCUUAAAUAUGCAGUUUUUGUCAGAUAAGCUUUUUCUUAUAUAUUUUAUUCAGUUUCUUGAUGUGGUAGCAUAUUUAAGAAUUUGAUUAGGAAUAGACUUGAUUCUUAAAUACAGAAGAGUUUGUGUUAUUACAAAGAGGAUGGUGAAAUUUCCUAUCAGCACAAGAUGGCCACUUUAUCUAUCUUUAUUCUAAUUUAGAACAACUGUAAAUGAUUGCACAGGAACAAGGCAUACAUAUCUGGCAUCUGGCCGGAUACAUUUUUUAAUCUGGUGAUAGGAUUGGUAACUAGUGAUAGAAUUAGAAUCUGAUGAGUAUAUUGCUGUUUUUAUUGUUAUUUGCUACAUUGUACAUGGCUAGAUAGUAACUAAGAACUUCAAGCCUCUUG